rnacentral:tRNA from 1 species
GCCGUUCUUCGUGAGCGGAAGGGCUUCCAAUCUUUUCAAAGAACAUGCCGUCGUCCUCAUGUCCCUUCAUCACUGGAGAUCAUUGCAGCGUUCUUGCUGCGAUGAGCGCCUGAGCUGGCUCACAGCCGUCUGCGGCUCACCUUUACGGGUUGGAGCUGCUUGAGGCAGGUGGGGCCGGUAGCUCAGGUGGUUAGAGCGCACGCCUGAUAAGCGUGAGGUCGCAAGUUCAACUCUUGCUCGGCCCACCAUGCAUUUUGAAUUGGUUGGGGGCCUUAGCUCAGCUGGGAGAGCACCUGCUUUGCAAGCAGGGGGUCAUCGGUUCGAUCCCGAUAGGCUCCACCAAGCCGCGGCAUGCGCGGCGAUCGGCGUGAGCUGGUCGCGCAACUGACGGCGUGCGAUUGGUGUGGAGCGUACCUGCUCUCGAUCGGAAAUACUCCAGGGAUGAAGACACGAUAUCCGGCUCGCGAGGGCUGGUGAUGCGGGAGUGAUCCUGCUGCUUCUUUGACAUUGUGAAUGGGUUUUUAAUCGAUGCCGUGGCGCAUGGAUUGUUUGUCUGCGGACAGCGAUCGGUGCGGCACAUACAGAUGUAUAUCUGGCUGAGAUUAUCGUCCGCAUCUGUAACAGCGCAGGCAUUAUGCAGGUCUGUCGUGAUG